GUGGCCCUGUCCGUCUCUUUGCCUGCGUACUGUAGAUGCAAAGGGCCCCGGCGGGACCAGGUCAGGCCCAGUCCCCGGAAGAGAGGAUGCUCCCGGCAGCCGCCAAGCUCUGAGAUCCGCCUGAGAUCUUCCCGCUUUUCCCUUCCGCGCCCGUUUUGACAGCUACUCUGCGACUGGUCAGCACACGGAAGCUCCGCCCCUAACUUCCGGGAGGCCGCUCAUUCAUAGCUUUGCGAUGCCACAGUGGCCACCGGAAGCCUCAGCCCGCUUCCGCCGUCCGCCCCCCAGUGGCCACGCCCGCCCAGAAGUCGCUCUUUUUUACCGCCUGGAGGCGAGUGAGAUGCGGCGUAGUGACAUCUACCCGGCCCCUCGCUCGCUCCACCCCUAGGCAGCAUCACUAAGCGUCGGCUCACCUAUGGAGCUCAAGUGAGUUUCAGGGAGCUCGAGUUUCCCGAUGCCGCUCAUGCCUCCAUAAAUACCUGACAUCGUGCUGGAGACUGUCAUAAUAAUACUAAUGACGAUGACCCUAUAGCCGCUGGACCAGGCGAUUUACACUUUAAUCCAGAGACAGUGGGAAAAAGAAUGGGAAGAAGUCUACAGUGUUCACCCAUCAUCUAGAGUUCAACAGUUGUUUCCCUUUUGCCCUAUUUGCUCCAUCCUGGUCUACAGGUCGUCACAUUGAGCAUGGGGAUGGGGAUGAAGAAGGCAGUGCCCAUGAGUGGGCACACAAUGGUUGAAUGAAAAGAAGAGGCAUCAUGGCAUAGAGAUCUUGAACCUAGACUGUGCAUCCCAGCUGCACCGAGAAGCACUUCCAGCCUGCAAGAACCUUGCACUGGACCAAAUUCAAGCACAGCCUUGAUGCCAAAGAACAAAGAGAUACAUGGGGCGGCUUGGGUCAAAAGCCCAGGAAAAAUUUUGUGCUCCUUCGUGUAUAACUCUUUGCAGCCCCGUGGACUGUAGCCUGCCAGACUCCUCUGUCCAUGGAAUUUCCCAGGUGGCUCAGUGGUAAAGAAUUGCCUGCCAAUGGCAGUAGAUGCAGGAGAUCUGGUUUGA